AAACUUAAAAUCAGGGGAUGUAAAAUUGAGGUUUCACUGUACUGUAUAUCAUAUUUUAUUAGAAACAUGUUUUAACAUUUGGACUCUAAUAAAUAGCCCCCACAGAGUUGCUGACACACUGACCAUUAAAAAGAAAGAUUAACCCAAAAGUCUGGUAUUUAGCGGUUAGAAACUGCUUAAAAUAGAAAAUGAACUGCUAUCUCUGAGUAAUACACCAGUUUAUUUUUUGUGUUUAGAUCCACUUAAACUGACUCCUGUACCCUUUAAAUUGGUUAUUACAAUACAUACACACUAGAGCAAACGAGACACAUUGAUAAUCUAUUGUGCAAUUUUUUUAUGCUAUUGCAGCAACACAAGUUCACAUUUUUACCACCAAAUCUAUAACAUUAGGAUCAUUUGGACAGAUGGCUACUGUUAGACAAUUUUUGUAGUAUCCAGGGCUAUCCAUAUAAUGCUCAACUUCUGCUUUUCUUCUCUACACACACACAGACAGGCCAGUUAUUGAGUGAUCAAAUGAAAUAUGUUUUUUAGCUAAACACACAUGGUUGACCAAUUUGCAGAAAUCCAAUACUUUUUGCAAGAAAUAAAUUGCAUUGUGCAAUUACAUCUGUUUGCACUUCCAGGUUAGCCAGUGAACCAAAAUACACUGACUGUGGUAAUCAGUGCUCUAAAUGUUUAGUUUUGAGUGAACACAUGGGAACAGGGUGCAACUGGUUAUAUAAAAUAAUUGUCCCUAGCACAAUUAUUUUAACACCCUAAGGGUUUUUUGUUUUGUUUGUUUUUUGCUUAUUUAGUUCAGGCACCCUUUGGAAACCCUACAUUUGAUCAGUGCCCUAUUUUAUUGUUAACAAGAUUAUGGAUAUAUGUUAUAAGAAAACCUGCUACAACUAAGUAGCCAUAGUUCCAUCAAUAUAUAGAGCAUCCAUUAAGAGUUUGCCCAAAAGCAGCAUUUUGACCACAGUAUUGAUCUCAGGAAGAACAAAGCAGGGUGAAAUUCCUAUAUUGCAUAUGUUGGGUGAGGACUCCAUGCCUGAAGUGUAUAAGAAGUGUGUAUAUAGCAUUGGCUAUCCUAUUCCACAUGUCUCUUUAACACUAAGGGGCUAAAAUUCAGAAUUUUUUUCUGUAAAACCGUAUAUUCUUUUUAUUUUUUUAAAACUCCAAAAACAUUUAUCAAGUGUAAAACCACUAAAAACUCGAAUACAAACUUCUCCGAGUAAAAGUAGUCAAGGUGCUAUAGAAGUCAAUGGAAGCUGUGCGGAUCCUUUUUUAAAGCAUUCAGACUUUUAGAGGUUUUUGGAUUUCUUUUCACUAGUAAUUAUCCGAAAAACUCUUAUUAUUAGAGGUUUAGAGAUUUUCAUAGUCAUUAGUGCAUCAUCAGCGUUUUUUUUUACUUUCAUACUUUUUGUAAUAGCAUCUGGAGAAUAAUGGAAUAAUAGAAUGGAGAGAAUAAACAGUUUGUGCAAAAAACUGUUUGCAUAAACCACACUACACUGAAACCACCACCUCUUGCCUUUCAUAGAGUUAAAUGGCAAUUACCUAUAUAUCUGCCAGUUGCUCCCUCAGAACACUCUGCACGAUGUCUAAGGGCUCUUACACACGGGCGUUUACUUAUGCGUUUUUCAAACGCAUGUUGAGUGUGUUCAAAUUUCCAUUUGCGUUUAUCUGCGUUUUUUUAGACGCAGUUAUAUGCGUUUUAUAUGCGUUUUGUGUUGUCUCCUCUUUCUGUAAACGCAUGUGCGUUUGUUGAAUGUAUAAAAUUCCAUGACCUCAACUUUCUAUUUCCUGUGACUUUUGACCCUCAGAUUCAGUGUGCUCUAUAACUAUGGAUUUAUAUGACAUAUUGAAUUGUUUUCUCCAAGCAACAUGCUUAUUUUUUCUUUGUUUUAGGAAGAAGAGGAUUGUCCCAAGGAAGAUUUCUUGCUACAGGGGAAUCACUGUCCUCCUUACAUUUUCAUUUUUUGCUUGGUAAGAUGACAGUUUGUUCGAUCGUCCAUGAAACAUGCAAGGCAAUAUGGUUGUGUUUGAAAGAGCAAGUUAUGCCUGAACCCAACACACAAAUGUGGGAGGGUAUUACAGAGAACUUCUACAGAACCACUCAGUUUCCCAACUGUCUUGGAGCACUAGAUGGGAAACACAUCCGUAUACGCAAGCCACCAAGAAGUGGAUCAAAGUUUUUUAAUUAUAAAAAAUACUUUUCCAUUGUUUUAUUAGCAUUAGUUGACAGCAAUUAUAAGUUCAUUGCAAUUGAUGUUGGUGCAUAUGGCAGCACAGGUGAUUCCCGUAUUUUUAAAAAUUCUGUUAUGGGCCGCCACAUCACAAGUGGCAGAAUGAAAUUUCCAAAUCCAAAGUGUUUACCUGGAGGUCAAAUUGCAUUACCACAUGUUUUAGUUGCUGAUGAAGCUUUUGCAAGUUCUCAAAAUAUCUUAAAACCAUACCCACAGAGAGGGCUUGAUAUUCGCAAACGGGUAUAUAACUAUAGGCUGAGUAGAGCACGCAGAAUGGUAGAGUGUGCUUUUGGAAUUUUAGCCAAUAAAUGGCGCAUUUUACAUACCUCUAUCCAGCUGGAUGUGAAACAUGUGGAUAUGGUCAUUAAAGCAUGCUGUGUGCUACAUAAUUUUCUAAGAUUAAAAGACAGAUAUUUCAGUUUUGAUGAUAUGUGUCAUAAUUUGACUGAUGUUCAUUGCCAUGCUACUCGCUCUACUAUACAUGCCCUUCAGAUACGAGAUCAUUUUGCAGAUUUUUUUCUUUCUCCCGAAGGUGAAGUACAUUGGCAAUACCACAAAAUGUAAAAAACAUAUUCCUAAACUGUACACAUGAGUUACAAUAAUUGUCGUUUUGUUAACACACAGACAUGAUCUUUAUUGUGUGUUUAUAUUUCAUCUGUAUUCUGUAAUUUCUUAAUAUUCUGUAUGUUGUUUUGGUUUAACAAUACAAAAACCAGUCAAGACAAUAAAUGCUGUAAAACAAGAAUGUUUAUUCACAUUUUAGUUAAACAAUAAAGAAAAGUAUUGUCA